rnacentral:rRNA from 1 species
UACGUAGGGUGCGGGCGUUAAUCGGAAUUACUGGGCGUAAAGCGUGCGCAGGCGGCCUCUUAAGUCAGAUGUGAAAUCCCCGGGCUUAACCUGGGAACUGCGUUUGAAACUGGGAGGCUAGAGUGUGGAAGAGGGGGGUGGAAUUCCAGGUGUAGCAGUGAAAUGCGUAGAGAUCUGGAGGAACACCGAUGGCGAAGGCAGCCCCCUGGGCUGACACUGACGCUCAUGCACGAAAGCGUGGGGAGCGAACAGG